ensembl:lncRNA novel transcript, antisense to KATNAL2
GGCCCACUGCUGGAUAAAAGGUGCAGCACCCACUGGCCACUUCCACGGUUUACAUCUUGCUUCAAGGCCUUGUGCCCGAUCAGCUGAGCCCCUGUGCCAACCCUCAGGUUAGAAGCUGCUAAGACAAAUACGAGAUCUUCUGAGCGUGCCAGCCCAUCCAUCUGCACCAGUAACUCUGUCUUCAUCCGCAGGCUUCCUUC